GCCUAGGAAUCUGCCUGGUAGUGGGGGAUAACGUUCGGAAACGGACGCUAAUACCGCAUACGUCCUACGGGAGAAAGCAGGGGACCUUCGGGCCUUGCGCUAUCAGAUGAGCCUAGGUCGGAUUAGCUAGUUGGUGAGGUAAUGGCUCACCAAGGCGACGAUCCGUAACUGGUCUGAGAGGAUGAUCAGUCACACUGGAACUGAGACACGGUCCAGACUCCUACGGGAGGCAGCAGUGGGGAAUAUUGG
rnacentral:rRNA from 1 species